ACUCAAAUGAAUUGACGGGGGCCCGCACAAGCGGUGGAGCAUGUGGAUUAAUUCGAAGCAACGCGAAGAACCUUACCAAGGCUUGACAUGGAAGUGACCACUUCAGAGAUGAUGUUUUCCCUUCGGGGACACUUCACACAGGUGGUGCAUGGUUGUCGUCAGCUCGUGUCGUGAGAUGUUGGGUUAAGUCCCGCAACGAGCGCAACCCCUACGUUCAGUUGCCAGCAAGUAGAGUUGGGCACACUGGAUGGACUGCCGUGGAUAACACGGAGGAAGGUGGGGAUGAUGUCAAAUCAUCAUGCCCCUUAUGUCUUGGGCUUCACACGUGCUACAAUGGCUCAUACAGAGUGAAGCAAGCCCGCGAGGGUAAGCGGAUCACGAAAAAGAGCCCCAGUUCGGAUUGCAGGCUGCAACUCGCCUGCAUGAAGUUGGAAUCGCUAGUAAUCGCGAAUCAUCAUGUCGCGGUGAAUACGUUCCCGGGCCUUGUACACACCGCCCGU
rnacentral:rRNA from 1 species